AGUGAACGCUGGCGGUAGGCCUAACACAUGCCAGUCGAACGGCAGCACAGUAAGAGCUUGCUCUUACGGGUGGCGAGUGGCGGACGGGUGAGGAAUACAUCGGAAUCUACUUUUUCGUGGGGGAUAACGUAGGGAAACUUACGCUAAUACCGCAUACGACCUACGGGUGAAAGCAGGGGAUCUUCGGACCUUGCGCGAUUGAAUGAGCCGAUGUCGGAUUAGCUAGUUGGCGGGGUAAAGGUCCACCAAGGCGACGAUCCGUAGCUGGUCUGAGAGGAUGAUCAGCCACACUGGAACUGAGACACGGUCCAGACUCCUACGGGAGGCAGCAGUGGGGAAUAUUGGACAAUGGGCGCAAGCCUGAUCCAGCCAUACCGCGUGGGUGAAGAAGGCCUUCGGGUUGUAAAGCCCUUUUGUUGGGAAAGAAAAGCAGCAGGUUAAUACCCCGCUGUUCUGACGGUACCCAAAGAAUAAGCACCGGCUAACUUCGUG
rnacentral:rRNA from 1 species